UACGUAGGGGGCUAGCGUUGUCCGGAAUCAUUGGGCGUAAAGCGCGUGUAGGCGGUCCGGUAAGUCCGCUGUGAAAGUCGGGGGCUCAACCCUCGGAUGCCGGUGGAUACUGUCGGGCUUGAGUACGGAAGAGGCGAGUGGAAUUCCUGGUGUAGCGGUGAAAUGCGCAGAUAUCGGGAGGAACACCAAUGGCGAAAGCAGGUAACUGGACUAUUACUGACACUCAACUGCGAAAGCUAGGGGAGCAAACAGG
rnacentral:rRNA from 1 species